rnacentral:lncRNA from 1 species
UUCUAGGCAUAUCACAAUUUUCUAGCAUAGGAAUUUGCGAAUAAACAGAUGAAAUCAUACUAUAUUGAUUUAUAAAACAAAAAUGAACACCUAUAAUGUAAACAUUUUCAUUCAAAUAUGUGGAAUAGCUAAUAAUGAUCCGAUUAAAAACGGAGAAACUCGCUUUUAUUAAACAAAAUAUCCACAAUAACUUAAAAAACAAGAAACAAAACAGGAAAACCAGAGAAUAGAGGCAACAAAAAAAAUACAAGGAUUCGAACCUAAACCGCCAAGUUCUAACUCAUUAAGCAUAACCAUGUAACCUCGCG